ACCUGGGGCUCGGACCCGGUCUCUGCUCCCGCGUGGAGUCGGCCUCGGCGGGCCUCGGUGGGCCUAUCCUUGAGUUUACAUCCGAAGGAGCCCUGGCUGGGCUGAGGAAGGCCGCGAGACUCGUGACCUCGGCGGCGUUUGAGGCCGAGCUCGCUGGCCCAGCGCGGAGCCCGGGCGAGCCGGAAGCUAGGCUCAGGCACCAGCUGAAUUAAGAGAAGCACACCUCCUCCCAAGAACAGUACUCCAGAUAUGACAUAACGCCUGGGUAGGGUUCGAAGUAGCAGCCAGGCUGUAAUGUAAGCUGGAACUUCAAUCAAGGCAGAGAAGAAACAGUUCAGGAGCUGACGAGGCAUGGCCAAGGACACUGAAUCCUCACUGACUGGCAGGAAGCGAAUCUGCUUCCACUGAAUAUCUGCUUUUCCUCGUGGCCUCCUGCCUGCAGGGGUGAAUCCUCCAGCCUGUGCUCUCAGGCCUUAAGGUUCUAGACACAACAUAGCAAGACUAAAGACAUGUACAGCUUCCCCAGCAGAAUUUGGUAAGAUUCAGAGUACAGUGGGGAGCCCAUGGGUGGAAUACCCCUCAAACACAUUUUUCCCUCUUAA